AUUGAACGCUGGCGGCAGGCCUAACACAUGCAAGUCGAACGAGUGGCGGACGGGUGAGUAAUGUCUGGGAAACUGCCCGAUGGAGGGGGAUAACUACUGGAAACGGUAGCUAAUACCGCAUACCAUCGGAUGUGCCCAGAUGGGAUUAGCUAGUAGGUGGGGUAACGGCUCACCUAGGCGACGAUCCCUAGCUGGUCUGAGGGGAUGACCAGCAAAAGUGUACAUGAGAAAGGGUCCAGAAUCCACCGGGUGGAAGAGGGGGGGAAUAAUGAACAAGGGGAGCAAGCCGGAGGAAGCCAUGUGGUGUGUAGAAAGAAGUCCGUCGGGUUGUAAAGAACUUUCAGCGAGAAGGCGUAACUCGCAGAAGAAGCACCGGCUAACUCCGUGCCAGCAGCCGGGGUAAUA
rnacentral:rRNA from 1 species